GUUCAAGAGUACGUGAAACCGUUCAGGGGUAAACCUGAGAAACCCAAAAGAUCGAAUGGGGAGAUUCAUCGUCAGCUCAUUUUGUAUAUGUACGAGUUAUGAUGCGAGUUACUCUUGAGUAUUGCUUGUACGUACUUGUACAUUUAUUUGCAAGAUGUUGUCGGCGUGCACUUCUCCCCUAGUAGGACGUCGCGACCCGUUGGGUGUCGGUCUACGACCCGAGUGGGAGCCUUUAAUAUUUU
rnacentral:rRNA from 1 species